GGGAUCAUUACUGAGUUUACGCUCUACAACCCUUUGUGAACAUACCUAUAACUGUUGCUUCGGCGGGUAGGGUCUCCGCGACCCUCCCGGCCUCCCGCCCCCGGGCGGGUCGGCGCCCGCCGGAGGAUAACCAAACUCUGAUUUAACGACGUUUCUUCUGAGUGGUACAAGCAAAUAAUCAAAACUUUUAACAACGGAUCUCUUGGUUCUGGCAUCGAUGAAGAACGCAGCGAAAUGCGAUAAGUAAUGUGAAUUGCAGAAUUCAGUGAAUCAUCGAAUCUUUGAACGCACAUUGCGCCCGCCAGCAUUCUGGCGGGCAUGCCUGUUCGAGCGUCAUUUCAACCCUCAAGCUCUGCUUGGUGUUGGGGCCCUACAGCCGAUGUAGGCCCUCAAAGGUAGUGGCGGACCCUCCCGGAGCCUCCUUUGCGUAGUAACUUUACGUCUCGCACUGGGAUCCGGAGGGACUCUUGCCGUAAAACCCCCCAAUUUUCCAAAGGUUGACCUCGGAUCAGGUAGGAAUACCCGCUGAACUU
rnacentral:rRNA from 1 species